rnacentral:sRNA from 1 species
GCUGGCCCGCACCCAUAGUCCCAGCUACUCGGGAGGCUGAGGCAGGAGGAUCACUGGAGACCAGGGGUUCGAGAGCAGCCUGAGCAACAUAGCAAAACCCUGUCUUUA